rnacentral:rRNA from 1 species
AGAGUUUGAUCCUGGCUCAGAAUCAACGCUGGCGGCGCGCUUAACACAUGCAAGUCGAGCGAGAAAGCGGGGCAACCUGUGAGUAAAGCGGCGUACGGGUGAGUAACACGUGGGUAAUCUGCCUCUUAGUGGGGAAUAACCUUGGGAAACUAGGGCUAAUACCGCAUAAGCCUGAAGAGGGAAAGCAGCAAUGCGCUGAG